AAUUUUAUUAUUCCUAUGAUCGUGGGUCGGUGGUGUAACUAUUCAUCGGCGAUAUGUGUUCCUUUCAUCCGUUCCUCUCCUUCUACGUGUUUCUCUCUAUGAUUCCACCUUUCUUUUGUCCAAUAUAAAACUUCCAGAUAUCUCGUACCGACUUCAUCUCGAUACUUCACCACUUUAACUCGCCUCUCGGAUAAGCAACCCCAUUUCUUCACUCCACCCUCGCACUGACAGUCUCCUCUCCUUCUGUGAAAGAAGAUCUUUGAUUUCAGAUUUAAGGUGUGCUACACUUUCUGCAAUUCGUUAUUGGGCAAUGAAAAGAAGUAAGGCCGCAGACACCUUCUCGCUAUCGUCGUCACCGACAACUGUGAUUACAAGAAAAGGUUCUGUCAUCUCCGGUUUCAUGUUUUCUUCACUUGCAGCAGCUUCUAAGGGCUUAUUGUUUGCUUAUAAAAAUUGAAUUUGGGGUCUUCAUUGUCUAACAUCUCAUGCUGUAUUUUAUAACAUUUAUGACAAGUGUUUACAAAGUGGAUUUGGAUCCUAUUUGAUGUUUACCAGACGAUGACACUGAUUGCACCACCAAUACACCUCCGAUCCGACAUCCAGAGGUUCAACUGCUUUGUGAUCAACAUAGAAAUGUAGCAGCUUUACAUAGUCGUGAUUGCAGUUUUCAAAGACGACAUCAAAAGAUUAUUGAGGAAGGACCAAUAAUUAUAGCUCCAAAUGACAGAAUAAAGAAGUUGGGAGUAAGGUGCAAGAAGAUUAGUUAAACCAAUGAAUUAUGUUGGAGCUGCAACUGUAGAGUAUUUGUAUAGUAUGGACACAGGGGAUUAUUACUUUGUAGAGCUCAAUCCACGUUUACAGAAUGUGUUGUAGUUGAGGGAGCUACCAUUGAAGCUAGAAAAAGAGCUUUAGAAAAAGCAAUGUCUCAAAAGAAAGUAUCUGAAUAAAAACAUUGAUGUUAGAAAAACAUCUUCUUCUGAUUUAUACAUUUUAAAUGGAACAAGUGGAGAAUCGGCUUAGAGAAGUAAAGCAAUAUUAGAAAAGCAUAACAAGAUCAAGGAAAAUGUGGCUAAAGCUGUUGCAGAGAAAGUAAAACGUAAUCAGCUUGCCCAAAAAGAACAAGUUUAAAGAAGCGUAAUUAUCUUUUUUUAUUCCAUUAAUUUAAUUCAGUAACCAUAUAUAAUAUAGUUUAUUACCCAUUUAUGAUUUUCCCGCAUAUUUAUACUAUAAAUCUAUAAUUCUGACUGUUGUUUUGAGGAAUAGUUAGUAUA